CUUCUAUACCAAGAGGUCUGAG
rnacentral:snRNA from 1 species